UAAUUGCAUUCCUUAAAGAUGGCGGCAGAAAGAGAAGAUUAAGUGACCUUUGUCUUCUUCUCUUGAAGGUCCUUCACUAGCUGGAGACACUCCAGUGAGAACAAGCAACAGAGAAAGGAAGAGAAGAAGUACUAGAGAGUUUAUUCCAGGAAGUGACCAAAGACAUAAUUCACACGAGUCAAGGAGAUAAUUUUGUUCUCUCUCUCUCUCUCUCAGCUUUUAUCGAAAUCUGAUCUACGUCUCAUAGAGUUCUUGCACUGAUGUAAUCAAUGGGAGGGUGUGGCUAAAUUUGAGCUAAAUUGUCCGCCAUGUUGGGUGGCAAGAAUGUACAUGGAGGAAUGGA